rnacentral:rRNA from 1 species
UACGUAGGGAGCAAGCGUUGUUCGGAUUUACUGGGCGUAAAGGGCGCGUAGGCGGCGCGGUAAGUCACUUGUGAAAUCUCUGAGCUUAACUCAGAACGGCCAAGUGAUACUGCAGUGCUAGAGUGCAGAAGGGGCAAUCGGAAUUCUUGGUGUGGCGGUGAAAUGCGUAGAUAUCAAGAGGAACACCUGAGGUGAAGACGGGUUGCUGGGCUGACACUGACGCUGAGUGCGCGAAAGCCAGGGGAGCAAACGGG